GCAGUCUUCUAAAUACACCUCCUGCUGUAUGUCGUGUUAGAGGAAAGGUAUUCGUGACACUUGUUAAAAAUGAGGAAGGAAUCUGAGGUCGGCAAUCAUUCUACAGAAAACUCAUCCCAGCCAUCCCAAUCCAAGCGGGGCAGCCCCGUUUGGAGACCCUCUGAACUGGGAAUCCUUUCAGGAUUUGAAGCCAAUCCAAAUCCACCACUUCAUUCAGGAUGAUUUUAUUGUCACCACCUUUCUGAGGGCCCCUGACCACAGCAUUUUCAGAGGAAACCGGAUUACUGUGAAAUCAUCCGAUAACACACCUCUGAGAAGAAAUGAAAUGUAUUUUUAUUGGCGGAGCCAAGAUGAAGUAUGUCUUGAAAUCUGUUUUACAAAUAACCUGGCACAUAAAUUGUCCAUUCCUGCUUCA